GGCGUGGUGGCCUAGCUCGGUAGGGCGGAGGGCUGCUAAUCCUCUGCGAUAAAACGCUCAUGGGUUCAAAUCCCAUCCACGCCG
rnacentral:tRNA from 1 species